CCUACGGGUGGCAGCAGUGAGGAAUAUUGGUCAAUGGACGCGAGCCUGAACCAGCCAAGUAGCGUGAAGGAAGACUGCUCUACGGGUUGUAAACUUCUUUUAUAAAGGAAUAAAGUGAGGCACGUGUACCUUUUUGUAAGUACCUUAUGAAUAAGGAUCGGCUAACUCCGUGCCAGCAGCCGCGGUAAUACGGAGGAUCCGAGCGUUAUCCGGAUUUAUUGGGUUUAAAGGGAGCGUAGAUGGGUUGAUAAGUCAGUGGUGAAAGGUUGAGGCUCAACCUUAAAAUUGCAAUUGAUACUGGCAGUCUUGAGUACAGUUGAGGUAGGCGGAAUGCGUGGUGUAGCGGUGAAAUGCUUAGAGAUCACGAAGAACUCCGAUUGCGAAGGCAGCUUACUAAGCUGCCACUGACGUUGAGGCACGAAAGUGUGGGUAGCAAACAGGAUUAGAUACCCGGGUAGUC
rnacentral:rRNA from 1 species